GCAUAUCAAUAAGCGGAGGAAAAAGAAACCAACAGGGAUUGCCCUAGUAACGGCGAAGUGAAGCGGCAACAGCUCAAAUUUGAAAUCUGGCCUCACGGUCCGAGUUUGUAAUUUGUAGAGGAUGCUUCUGGCGACGUGCCUUCCGAGUUCCCUGGAACGGGACGCCAUAGAGGGUGAGAGCCCCGUCCGGUCGUGCACCUAGCCUCUGUGAAGCUCCUUCGACGAGUCGAGUAGUUUGGGAAUGCUGCUCUAAAUGGGAGGUAUACGUCUUCUAAAGCUAAAUACCGGCCAGAGACCGAUAGCGCACAAGUAGAGUGAUCGAAAGAUGAAAAGCACUUUGAAAAGAGGGUUAAAUAGUACGUGAAAUUGCUGAAAGGGAAGCGCUUAUGACCAGACUUGGGCUCGGUGAAUCAUCCGGCGUUCUCGCCGGUGCACUUUGCCGUCCCAGGCCAGCAUCAGUUCGCGCCGGGGGAUAAAGGUUUCGGGAACGUGGCUCCCUCGGGAGUGUUAUAGCCCGUUGCGUAAUACCCUGGCGUGGACUGAGGUCCGCGCUCUGCAAGGAUGCUGGCGUAAUGGUCAUCAGUGACCCGUCUUGAAACACGGACCAAGGAGUCGUCUUCGUAUGCGAGUGUUCGGGUGUCAAACCCCUACGCGUAAUGAAAGUGAACGUAGGAGAGAGCUUCGGCGCAUCUCCGACCGAUCCUGAUGUUCUCGGAUGGAUUUGAGUAAGAGCAUACGGGGCCGGACCCGAAAGAAGGUGAACUAUGCCUGUAUAGGGUGAAGCCAGAGGAAAACUCUGGUGGAGGCUCGCAGCGGUUCUGACGUGCAAAUCGAUCGUCAAAUAUGGGCAUGGGGGCGAAAGACUAAUCGAACCUUCUAGUAGCUGGUUUCCGCCGA
rnacentral:rRNA from 1 species